AGAGCUAUGCAACUGGGAGCAUGCUCUGGCCAGGCCUCACAUCACUGCUGUAACUUAGAUCCUUUCUGAUAUUGUUAUGUUAAUAGCAGUCAUACUGACAGUUUCUAUAAUUCCUGCAAAGGCUGUGAACAACUGCAAUCUGCCAAGGUUUUCUGAAUACAUUUUUGGAGAGCAGGUUGUUAACAAGUAUUCAGAGGCAUGAACUGUUAACUUUUAGGCUGGAGAAGAACACCACUGAUCACAGCUUUCCUGCAUUACCAGUCCACGGGUGGAGGAGCUCUGGUUAAAGCAAGCUUUCUCUCAAAUCAAUGGGAGCACUUCAAGCACGUUUCCUAUUUCUGCAACUGAUGUCAGAACAAUCAGUAGAUGAGAUUGGAGGAACAGUCAGAUCCCCAUAACAAGGCUAAAGAAUGUCAUUAGGUUAUGAAGAAAGAGGAAAGAAAGAAGGAAACAAUAAACAGAAGUUGAUGGCGCUUGGUUUCCUACGGGCAUGUAUCCCUCAGCAGCCUUUGAUAUCUAAUCAGGAGUUGCAUUUGGUAACACUGUGUUUUCAGUGGGAGCCCUUAGAACUCUGUCCAAUUUUGUUGAAAAUGGCCAAACAGAUCAAAGAUUACAAGCAAGAAGAAAUUCUUCCCAAAUGUGUGAAUAUACAAAUUUCAUUUCUUCAGAAAAUCAGGACAAAAAUGGACUUUAGUAUCUUGAUCCAGCCAUCAGGUGCCAAUCAAUCAGACAAAGGAACAAUAGAAAAAUGACCUCAAGAAAAAUUCAAGUGAUUAAUAAAAUAUUUAAAAUUUGAUUCUU